UACAGAGGGUGCAAACGUUGUUCGGAGUUACUGGGCGUAAAGCGCAUGUAGGCGGCCGAGCAGGUCGGAUGUGAAAGCCCUCAGCUCAACUGAGGAAGAGCAUUCGAAACCGUUUGGCUUGAGUCCCAGAGAGGAAGGUAGAAUUCUCGGUGUAGAGGUGAAAUUCGUAGAUAUCGAGAGGAACACCGGUGGCGAAGGCGGCCUUCUGGAUGGAGACUGACGCUGAGAUGCGAAAGCGUGGGGAGCAAACAGG
rnacentral:rRNA from 1 species